rnacentral:lncRNA from 1 species
GUCUCGAUUUCCCUCUCUCUAAAUUUGUAACUUUUUAUUAUUUCAUUAAUAAUAAUAAAGCCCUGCUUUGUUUUAUGUGUUUUAACUCCGAUCACCACUACCCUUUCCGAUUGAUCUGAAACCCCUAACUCAUGUCAGGGCUCUGCCCGACUAAGUUCGUUGGGAUUCUGUCUCGGGACAUUGGGAUAAGGUUGAAUUAGGGGUACUAUACUUAACACGAGUGCAUUAUAUAUUUUUAGUAGCCCAAAAGUUAUACCCAAAAUUUAUAACAGGAGAUUUUCUAGUUGAACCCUAAAGUUACAAAGUAGGGUGCAUUCUCUUUUCUCACCGUUUUAUUUCCUUUUUGUGAUUUACCCAAAAGUAUUAUUUAUUAUUCUAUUUUUGUAAACAACUCUCAUCAAAAGUCAUAUCUAUUAUUUUAUUCACCCAAUUGGAAACCCUAGUUGAGACACCAAAGUAAUCCUGCACCACUCCAAAAAUUUUCAGAAUCCUCAGAAUCAUCAGGAUCAGGAUCAGGGCCCUAAAACUCAGGGGGGUAUUCCCCACUUGACGAUUAUCUUCAUAUCUUGCUGUCUAAUUCGCAAUUUAACAUUCCGUCGACUCACACAAGCUACUGAGACACGUGGCAAUCCUAUGCUAAAACUGCCCUCCUCGCGCCACGGAACAGGGCCUCUCGCCACGUGCGCGCGUAUAUAGAGGGGUGUGGGACUUGAUUUCUGGCAUUGGAGCUAUGUUGAAAUUCGUUAUACACUCCGAGAUAUUCUUUGAUUACUACCAAACACACACUAGCUCGAAUUCUACUACGAUAUCGGGUAUUAACUCGAUCGCUGUUACGAUUCAAUGUCCGAUCACUGAAACUAUCCGACCGGAUGUUUAAGCGCUAUCCUUUGUCAUUAGUCGUGAUUCCGACAGGAUGUUUGAGUGCCACCCGAACUCGGGGAAUACUCUGUCAUUCGUUGUGAAUCCGAUGGAUGUUUAAGUGAUUGCACUUUGUCAUUCGUUGUGAGGGUUUUAAUCUCGUGAGUUAUUGUAAUUGCUGUAUUAAGUUACCUACCUAGUUAGUGUGCACUAGGUUACAAGAAUAGAUAAUAGGCUAAGCUCUGCCUAUAUAAAUCUGCAAUAUCACGGCUAAUCAAUAGGCUAAACUUUGCCUCUAUGAAUCUGCAUGCUUAUAAUGUGAGUCAUUCUCUUUUUAUCAACUGUUUUACAAAACUUCAAGUUAUUUUCAAAGUUAUAUUUACAGGGAUUAAGUCUUCGUAAUCACCAAGUUACAGCCGGUAUGUGGGGUUUUGUAUACAUUACUUGAUAAUCUUCACCAUUGGGGCAGCCAUGGGGUGAUAUAACCAUAGUCACAGACACCAUUGGACAAUGAGAGGGCCAAUGGGUCGAGUGACAAAAUACCAUGGGUAGUUGGUUUGAUAUCAGAAACAUUGUAAUCGCUCUUAAUACUGUGAAUUAUAACAAAUCUGUUUUGUAUAAAACCUGAAUGAAACUCACUCAGUAUUUCCCCGCUAACAAAAUCUUUUUAAAACGCGUUUCAGGUAAUUACAAUAGAUUGGAGUAAGGAUUGGAUCCUGCACUGAAGGACUUCAAGAAGUGGCUUAUUUUAUUAAUUAAAUCAAAUUAAAGAAUAUUGUUUUUAUUAAAAGCUACCUUUGUAAAAAUGGAAUUUAUUUCAUCUAUUUAAAUAAAAUCUGGUGUUUCUAAACUCUGAUAUUUUAUCCUAACUCACGGUUCUGACCGCUCGCGGCUCCGGAUUCCCACCAGGGUGGGGUCGGGGGUCGUGACACAAAAACAAACCCUACUGCUCCAUAAUUUACGAUCGGCGAUUGAAGAAACCACCCCCCUGUUCAUCAAGGCUUUAAGUGGUUAGUAAAUUCAUGGAUGAAUGUUAGUUAUGUUCGUAUAUUCAUGCAUGCUAUAUGUUGUGUAUGUAAUAUAGGUUCUGCACAUGAUUGCUUGAUUUGUAGGAUUAGAGGGAUUAGAUUAUUGAACAAGUUGUAUGGUUAAAAAUAAAUAAAUAAAUAUAUGAUAUCAUCGAACUGGAUGUUGAGGUGAAAUUGCAUGAUUUAAUUUUAUGUUGAUCACAUUAUGUAUGCAUAAGUAAAUGGUAGCCAUGUGACUGUGAUUUUGAUCUCCUUAAUUCAUGUGCAUAUUUUGAUAAGAUUGUCCAUGAUAGCCAAAGGCAUUAAAUAACUAGUGAUGAUGAUAAUGACUAGUUAUAGGAAGUCAUGUUGGUUGGUUUGUUAUGAACAAGAAUCACAUGACUCCUAUAUGAGCAGAUUAUGUAGUGGCUAUGCUAGGGUAACAUGAUGUUUAGGUUAUGUAUGAUUAAUGAGAACCGAUGAAGUUGAGCUUUCAAUUAAUAUUGUUAUAUAGUGAUUGCUCACUAAACAAAAAUCAUAAUAGGUGAGGGUUAAGGGUCCACGAGGGAAUGGGCUAGAGGUUUGGGUUUGGAUUUAUUGUUGUGGGCCAAUGGGUAUGUUUGGCUAAACAUAAUAGGUGGGUUAUAAGGUUCAUCAGGUUCGCAUGUUAAUUAUUACUGGUUGGGCCAAAUUUAGUUUAAGUAAUAAUGGACUACCUUGUUUAAAACAUAUGUUGGUUUGGACUGAAUGGUAAGGGUGGACUGGUAACUUUGGUUGGGUCGAAGCCUAGUGGAUUAUUAUAAUUUGAAGUGUUACGAUCUAGUGUAAAACAUUUAGUUAUGUUAUAAUUGAGUUGGGAUUCGACAAGCCACUUAUGUGCAUGUAUGCUUUUGGGCCGAACAUUUGUUGGGCCGCAUCUCUCGGAUAGAGAGGUUGGGGCGUAAGAGUAUGUGUAUUAAUAGUGUGUGUAUGGUUACAUAGUGUGAUUAAUUGAUGAACGAUAGAUAAACCUAGGGUACCAUGUACAUGUUUCAUUAUGACUUCUAGUGUGACAACGUGAUCAACAUGGAUACAAACUGAUUAUAUGAACCUUUUAGGCUUUGAAUAAUUGAGAGUGGUCAAGUAACUAGUCUUACCGAGCAAAUCUAAGGUGAGUUCACUGCUCUUUUUCCAAGCAUGCAUCCCGGAGAGUGAUAUCGGGUAACGUUCCGGGGAGGAAUGCUAGUUUAUUGGGAUGAUUGUUAUUAUUACUCAGUUUCUAUCACUUAAGACCCCUUACAUCUACCGACAGUUGUCGGGGAGGCAACGAGGUUAUUAGUUGAUAGCGCUAUUAGGAUUGGCACCCUCACACCGUACCGGGGAGGAUGGGUGUGAACUAAUUUCCUUAAAGCAUGACCAAUGUUUUGAUAGAGACAUUGGGGUUGGGGAAACACAUCUUGUAGCCAUUUCGGUAAUCGAGUUAAUAACAACACCAAAUCAAAUUGUUAAAUUGUUUUACACCUGUAUCUGGUAACUAAACUCGGUAACAAAACCUUGAACUCACCAGCUUUGUAUGAGACACUUUUUUGCAUGCUUCUGGAGAGGUCAUGGGUCGACUGGGGGAAUUAAUGCUAUUGAUUUCUUGAUAUUAUAUAUUGGUUUUUAAACUAUUUAACUUCGUUUAACUUUGCUUUCGCUGAAUACUUUGGUUUUCUUUUGACCUUGGAUGGUGUUUUAUUAAUAAUCAAGAACUUUAUU